rnacentral:rRNA from 1 species
UACGUAGGUGGCAAGCGUUAUCCGGAUUUACUGGGUGUAAAGGGCGUGUAGGCGGGAGAGCAAGUCAGACGUGAAAUUCCAGGGCUCAACCCUGGAACUGCGUUUGAAACUGUUCUUCUUGAGUGAUGGAGAGGCAGGCGGAAUUCCGUGUGUAGCGGUGAAAUGCGUAGAUAUACGGAGGAACACCAGAGGCGAAGGCGGCCUGCUGGACAUUAACUGACGCUGAGGCGCGAAAGCGUGGGGAGCAAACAGG